rnacentral:rRNA from 1 species
UACGUAGGGCGCGAGCGUUGUCCGGAAUUAUUGGGCGUAAAGAGCUCGUAGGCGGCCGGUUGCGUCUGCUGUGAAAUCCCGGGGCUUAACCCCGGGCGUGCAGUGGAUACGGGCCGGCUGGAGGCAGGCAGGGAGAAUGGAAUUCCCGGUGUAGCGGUGAAAUGCGCAGAUAUCGGGAGGAACACCGGUGGCGAAGGCGGUUCUCUGGGCCUGACUGACGCUG